UCCAGACUCCUACGGGAGGCAGCAGUGGGGAAUAUUGCACAAUGGGGGAAACCCUGAUGCAGCGACGCCGCGUGAAGGAAGAAGUAUUUCGGUAUGUAAACUUCUAUCAGCAGGGAAGAAAAUGACGGUACCUGACUAAGAAGCCCCGGCUAACUACGUGCCAGCAGCCGCGGUAAUACGUAGGGGGCAAGCGUUAUCCGGAUUUACUGGGUGUAAAGGGAGCGUAGGCGGUUUAGCAAGUCAGAAGUGAAAGCCCGGGGCUCAACUCCGGGACUGCUUUUGAAACUGUUGAACUAGAUUGCAGGAGAGGUAAGUGGAAUUCCUAGUGUAGCGGUGAAAUGCGUAGAUAUUAGGAGGAACACCAGUGGCGAAGGCGGCUUACUGGGCCGACACUGACGCUGAGGCGCGAAAGCUAGGGGAGCGAACAGGAUUAGAUACCCGAGUAC
rnacentral:rRNA from 1 species